CUUGUGUGGCAGGUGGAGGUGGGGCCAGACCGGCCGGGAAAGGGGGGCUUCUGGGGCUGGCUCUCUGGAUUCUCCAGAAUUCUACGGAAACUGGAAGUUUCUCUCUGGGCUCACACACGAUUUCAGGGAGAAACCACCCUGAAAGGGUAGAGUGCGGAACUGAACCUCCAUGACAGUCUUGAGCUUUCCAGGCCCUCUCUGUGAAGGCGACAAUGCCAGUGGGUGUCGCCGAUGCCGUGAUAGUCUCACACACGCAGGUGUGUGAAUCUCGUUCAUUUUCAUGUAGAAAACGAGAGCGAAACCACAGAGAAAAGAAACGUCCCAGGCAUCACAGCCUGGCGAUGGAUUCCUGUUUCCUGCAACGUGGGGAGUCUCCACUGUGGCCGGUUUGGAAACUGGAAAGGAGAGCACCGACACGGUGCUCCUCUUCCACUCUUCCCUGGAGGUUUCUGGGUCCCCACAGAGCUCGGGAAACAGUCAACAUGAUCUCGCUUUUGGGGGCCAGAGACACGUGAGCAACAGGCCCCCUUGUAGAUGGCAAAGGAACGUGGAACCCGAAACCACGAAACCACGUUUCAGUCGGCCUGAGUGCGACUCCUGCGUGGACGGGACUAUCUACCUCGGGCUCUGUUGCAAGCCCAAUCUGGGGCUAUGUCAUCUGUGAACCAUGUGGAUGAAAAACGGACGACCACCGGAGUCUCCGCUCAUUGCUCUCUGGGGCAAUUCGCUCAUUCCUUGGGAGACGGAAUUCGUCUGAAUUGCUCCGGGAUGAAGUGACCCGGGCUGGCCAUCCGGAGGGCCGGUGAGCGCCCCGCAGGCCGACGCGGCAGUGGGCCGGGCACUCAGCCUGCACUGGGCACCCAACAUUUUCCCGGAGUCGAGGUCCUGCUGGUCCUGGAGGCAGAACACGGCUUUUCUCUCUGCCUUGCUCUCUCUGUCUCUUGCUCCCUCCCCCCGUGUUUCCCUCCGUCCCGCCCUCAGUUCCUCCCUCCGUCCCUCUAUCCCUCUAUCUCUUCUAAGGUCCCUCCGUUCAUCCGUUCUUUCCUCCCUCCAUCGCUCCCUCUCUGUCUCCGUUCCUCUCCCCAUCUCUGCCUGCGUUCCCUCCCGCGUAGAAAGGGCAGCACCCGGGUUUGCGCGGGGUCUCCGGUCUGCAUUUAGCUGUCAGGCUCUCCAAGGUGAUGCACAGAUCAUCUCCUGUUAGCAGUAAUAUCCCGUCACCACUAUACUUUUGACUCAGAACGUACAACAUGAAGAGGAAACGUGAAUGUGCACUGUAAGCUUUGAGCGACAAUGAAGGGUCAAGGUCCACCUGCACAUCUACAAAUGGAUGCAUAUUCAAUGUUUUGUACUGCAGCACUGUGGAUAUGAGCAAAAGACUGGAAACAGCCUACAUUUCCAUCUAUAAGAGACUAAACAAAUUAAGGUUGCAAGGGCUGGUGGUCUCUCAUCUCGAUGGCGCCUGCUGAGCCCUGGAACAUGCGGCUGUGGUCCAAGGCGAUUUAAACCUGUGUCGCAG